rnacentral:rRNA from 1 species
UACGGAGGGUCCGAGCGUUAAUCGGAAUUACUGGGCGUAAAGCGCGUGUAGGCGGCUUGUUAAGCCAGAUGUGAAAGCCCCGGGCUCAACCUGGGAACUGCAUUUGGAACUGGCAGGCUAGAGUUUUGUAGAGGGUGGUAGAAUUUCAGGUGUAGCGGUGAAAUGCGUAGAGAUCUGAAGGAAUACCGGUGGCGAAGGCGACCACCUGGCCAAUAACUGACACUGAGACGCGAAGGCGUGGGUAGCAAACGGG